rnacentral:lncRNA from 1 species
GCAAGGUGAACAACAGGAUGUGGGGAACUGUGAAAGGAGGAGGAAAUGAUGAAGAUGGUUUAAGGACUUUGAACAUUAGCCAAUGCACUGCACUCACCCCAUCUGCUGUUCAAGCUGUUUGUGACUCAUUCCCUUCUCUCCACACAUGCUCAGGGAGGCACUCACUCAUCAUGAGUGGCUGCCUCAACUUGACAUCAGUGCAUUGUGCCUGUGCUGUCCAUGCGCACCGUGCAUUCACCACUUUCCCUUAUCCUGCCCAUUAAGAAGCUCAUGCUUUUGAUGUUGAACACACUUCGAGGAUGUGCCCCUUGAAAGGGCUCAGAGAAGUGAAAGAAGUGAAAUCCACCCCC